GGGUGCGAUUAUACCAGCACUAAUGCAACGUAUCCCAUCAGAACUCCGCAGUUAAGCGUGCUUGGGCUUGGGCGAGAGUAGUACUAGGAUGGGUGACCUCUUGGGAAGUUCUCUUGUUGCACCGU
rfam:Corchorus olitorius cultivar O-4 contig16633, whole genome shotgun sequence.